rnacentral:rRNA from 1 species
CACCGCGGUUAUACGGGAGGCCCAAGUUGUUAGAAGUCGGCGUAAAGGGUGGUUAAGAACAAAAUUAAAUUAAAGCCGAACAUCUUCCGAGCUGUUAUACGCUUUCGAAGAUAAGAAGCUCAAAUGCGAAAGUAGCUUUAUACAUUCUGAAUCCACGAGAGCUGAGAUA